GACGGAGGGUGCAAGCGUUGCUCGGAAUCACUGGGCGUAAAGGGUGCGUAGGCGGGUCUUUAAGUCAGGGGUGAAAUCCUGGAGCUCAACUCCAGAACUGCCUUUGAUACUGAGGAUCUUGAGUACGGGAGAGGUGAGUGGAACUGCGAGUGUAGAGGUGAAAUUCGUAGAUAUUCGCAAGAACACCAGUGGCGAAGGCGGCUCACUGGCCCGUAACUGACGCUGAGGCACGAAAGCGUGGGGAGCAAACAGG
rnacentral:rRNA from 1 species